AAAGCCAUCUCAGUUCGGAUUGCACUCUGCCACUCGAGUGCAUGAAGUUGGAAUCGCUAGUAAUCGCUGAUCAGCAUGCCGCGGUGAAUACGUUCCCGGGCCUUGUACACACCGCCCGUCACACCAUGGGAGUUGGUUUUACCCGAAGGCGCUGUGCUAACCGCAAGGAGGC
rnacentral:rRNA from 1 species